rnacentral:rRNA from 1 species
GACGAACGCUGGCGGCGUGCUUAACACAUGCAAGUCGAACGAAGUGGCGAACGGGUGAGUAACGCCUUAUCACCCUGCCCUUCAGAGGGGGACAACAGGUGGACACGUCUGCUAAUACCACAUCCUGCAGGAGGGGAUUGCGGCGGAUUAGCUAGUCGGCGGGGUAACGGCCCACCAAGGCGAGGAUCAGUCGCCGGUCGGAGAGGAUGAACGGCCACAUUGGGACUGAGACACGGCCCAGACUCCUACGGGAGGCAGCAGUGGGGAAUCUGCCGCAAGGGAUGAAAGUCUGACGGAGCAACGCCGCGUGAGGGAUGACGGCCUUCGGGUUGUAAAGCUCUGUUAAUCGGGACGCGGUACCGGAAUAGAAAGCCACGGCUAACUACGUGCCAGCAGCCGCGGUAAUAC